rnacentral:rRNA from 1 species
UACGUAGGGUGCAGGCGUUAAUCGGAAUUACUGGGCGUAAAGCGUGCGCAGGCGGUUUCUUAAGUCAGAUGUGAAAGCCCCGGGCUUAACCUGGGAACUGCGUUUGAAACUGGGAGACUUGAGUGUGGCAGAGGGGGGUGGAAUUCCACGUGUAGCAGUGAAAUGCGUAGAUAUGUGGAGGAACACCGAUGGCGAAGGCAGCCCCCUGGGAUGUGACUGACGCUCAUGUACGAAAGCGUGGGGAGCAAACAGG